rfam:Ictidomys tridecemlineatus contig082094, whole genome shotgun sequence.
GGAGAUACAGCUCAGUUGGUAGAGUGCUUGCCUUGCAUGCACAAGGCCCUGGGUUCAAUCCCCAGUACCACAA